ensembl:lncRNA
UUUCCAGGGGUUCUGGUGACGCACUGCUUUGCGAUGGAAAGGUCUCUGUAUCUAUAUAAAGCCGGGAAACACCUCCGUGAAGCCCCGCCUCUCAAUGGAGUGACGCAGGCACCACGUCUCAAGCUCGACAGCAGAUGAAGAGAGGGAUUCUCUCCUCUCAACAUUUCCAGAUGUGGAGCCGUUGAAACCCGAGGCAAAUGAGCCGGCGUGUGCGCGUGCGCAUCUGCUAGAGAAGGGAAGUCCAACUCAUUUCUGCGAAUCGGUUCUUUUGAACAGUUUGUAUUAAGAGCCGGUUCAAAUAAUGAUUCAGCUGUUGUCUUACUCCCCUGACAUCCCGGCAUAGUAUCGGCCUAUUGCACUAGAAAACGUUCCAAUAGAGUCAUAUGUAGGCAAAUAUAUUUAUGAUGUGUGUGUGUGUGUGUCUGUGUGUGUGUUUAUUAAGCUAUUUAAAAAUAUUUUAUUGUAAUUUGAUAUGUCCCAGUUGCAGCCACGAUUCAGCUUAAAAAAAUAGCAUUUACAAUAAAUAGGCCUAAUACUAAAAUCAUUUUAACUUAUCAUCUGUCAGCAUGUUAUUAAACUUAUUUUUCAUCCGUAAGUUUUUUCUCAGGUUUGGUUCUCGGGUCGUCGGGACGAGUCACCCAUCGAAGGAGACCGCUCUCAGUUCAAUGAGGCGGUACUAACCGAAUAACCCGAUUCACUGCGAGUCUGACAUGACAUCACAGUGCAGGGGAAUGGGAUCUGAAAAUCACAAGAUGCUGUUGGCAGCCCUGGCAACUAUGAUUUCGGUUUUGACAGCUUUCCAGUGGGGCGCGAUUCGCUGCGUCAUCGGGAUUCAUCUAGGACUUCCUGAAGCCAAGAAAUGUUGGCAAAUGUUUGCAUUAGUGCAGGAUUCUCAUACUGCACCACACAACAUUAUUUGUACCUACUAUUGAAAACAUGCAUCUUAAUUAGCACCCCAUUGUAAAUAGUGACAUGUACUAUCAUAAUAGUGAUACAUAUUUGCAUUUUUUUUAUAGGCUAAAUAUUAUUAUGUGAAAGGUUUCAAAAUGCAAUAAACCCUUCCCAUGCCAGUAACCCUAAACUUAA